rnacentral:rRNA from 1 species
AUUGAACGCUGGCGGCAGGCCUAACACAUGCAAGUCGAGCGAGCGGCGGACGGGUGAGUACUGUCUGGGAAACUGCCUGAUGGAGGGGGAUAACUACUGGAAACGGUCGCUAAUACCGCAUCCAAUCAGCUGUGCCCAGAUGGGAUUAGCUGGUAGGUGGGGUAACGGCUCACCUAGGCGACGAUCCCUAGCUGGUCUGAGAGGAUGACCAGCCACACUGGGACUGAGACACGGGCCAGACUCCUCCGCGAGGCAGCAGUGGGGAAUAUUGCACAAUGGGCGCAAGCCUGAUGCAGCCAUGCCGAGUGUGUGAAGAAGGCCUUCGGGUUGUAAAGCACUUUCAGCGGUGAGGCGUUACCCGCAGAAGAAGCACCGGCUAACUCCGUGCCAGCAGCCGCGGUAAUAC